GACGAACGCUGGCGGCGUGCUUAACACAUGCAAGUCGAACGGAAAGGCCCUGCUUUUGUGGGGUGCUCGAGUGGCGAACGGGUGAGUAAAACGUGAGUAACCUGCCCUUGACUUUGGGAUAACUUCAGGAAACUGGGGCUAAUAUCGGAUAGGAGCUCCUGCUGCAUGGUGGGGGUUGGAAAGUUUCGGCGGUUGGGGAUGGACUCGCGGCUUAUCAGCUUGUUGGUGGGGUUGUGGCUUACCAAGGCUUUGACGGGUAGCCGGCCUGAGAGGGUGACCGGCCACAUUGGGACUGAGAUACGGCCCAGACUCCUACGGGAGGCAGCAGUGGGGAAUAUUGCGCAAUGGGCGGAAGCCUGAUGCAGCAACGCCGCGUGCGGGAUGACGGCCUUCGGGUUGUAAACCGCUUUCGCCUGUGACGAAGCGUUAGUGACGGUAAUGGGUAAGGAAGCACCGGCUAACUACGUG
rnacentral:rRNA from 1 species